rnacentral:rRNA from 3 species
UACGUAGGUGGCAAGCGUUGUCCGGAAUUAUUGGGCGUAAAGCGCGCGCAGGCGGUCCUUUAAGUCUGAUGUGAAAGCCCACGGCUCAACCGUGGAGGGUCAUUGGAAACUGGGGGACUUGAGUGCAGAAGAGAAGAGUGGAAUUCCACGUGUAGCGGUGAAAUGCGUAGAGAUGUGGAGGAACACCAGUGGCGAAGGCGACUCUUUGGUCUGUAACUGACGCUGAGGCGCGAAAGCGUGGGGAGCAAACAGG